GGCUCUUCUUCUUCUUCUUCUCUGUCUCUGUCUCUGUCUCUCUGUAAUCUUCUGUGCUCUCCACAAA
rnacentral:sRNA from 1 species